ACGGCCNUCAUNUAACACGNUAGNUCAAUUCNUGCCCCUAUGGCACGGUGGGAUAACCNUCGCGGCAAACGUGGAGAAAUAAUCCGCGCAUAGCAUCAUAAUGCCUGGAACGGUUUAUGGNCCAAAUGAUUCGUCNCCAUAGGAUGGGACUGCGGCCUAUCAUCUUGUUGGUGAGGUAAUGGCCCNCCAAGGCUAUUACAGGUACGGGCUCUGAGAGGANAANCCCGGANAUGGGUACUGANACACGGACCCAGGCCCUAUGGGGCGCAGCAGGCGAGAAACCUUUGCAAUGUGCGCAAGCACGACAAGGUUAAUCCGAGUGUUUCCUGCUAAAGGAAUCUUUUGUUAGUUCUAAAACCACUGAUGAAUAAGGGGNGGGCAAGUUCUGGUGUCAGCCGCCGCGGUAAAACCANCNCCUCAAGUGGUCAGGAGGAUUAUUGGGCCUAAAGCAUCCGUAGCCGGUUCUGUAAGUUUCCGGUUAAAUCCACUACCUCANCUAAUGGGCUGCCGGAUAUACUGCAAAACUAGGGAGUGGGANAGGUAGACGGNACUCNGGAGGAAGGGGUAAAAUCCUUUGAUCUCUUGAUGACCNCCUGUGGCGAAGGCGGUCUACCANAACACGUUCGACGGUGAGGGAUGAAAGCUGGGGGAGCAAACCGNAUUAAAUACCCGGGUAGUCCCCAGCUGUAAACNAUGCACACUCGGUGAUGCANUGNNUUUUGGCCANUGCAGUGCCGCAGGGAAANCNUUAANUUUGCCGCCUGG
rnacentral:rRNA from 1 species